rnacentral:lncRNA from 1 species
GCGGGGGCGGCUUCGGCCGGGAGCCGGCGGAGCCCGCUUCGGAUUCCAGGUGUGGCAGUGACUCCGCGCUCCACGUUUUGCAGGCUGCCACCGUGUCGGAGGCGAGGCGAGGAAGGGAGCUGGAAUAACAAAGGUGGCAGCUGAGCAUCCCUGGAGAGGGUGGGUGGUAUGAAAGCACUUCCAGACCUCUAGGGACACCAGGGAGUCAUGGUCCCAGCACAUUGCUGUGUGAUUGAGCCCCUCCUCAGCCUGUGGGUGGCCUAAGUUCACAGGGAGGUAAUGGGGUAGAUUGGAUACCUCUGGGGUCUUGGAAGAAGCUAUGACUUAUUUACUGUCUACUAUGUGGGAGCUCAGGAGGGGGAAUUGCACUGAAGAUUUGUCCCAUCGUGAAGCAAGAGCACUGGAACUUACACUCCACCAUCAGGCCCUGUCACAGGAGAACAAAGAAGGAAGGCAGAGGAGAUCAUGCUCCGGCCAGCAGGGAAUCUCCAUUUUUUUCAGCCUCAUACCUUGGAAAGUACAAAGGAGUGAGAGCUGGGACUACCAGCCAGAGGGUUCAUGGAGGUAGUGGGAGGGGAAGAUGGGUUCUGCAUGGAGCCACUCCAGGGACUUUUCUUCUGUCUCACAGCCUGACAAUCACCUCUAGCUGUUCUCAGUCCCAUUCUCAUCAAUGACCUCGUCUCCUGAUUUUGUACAAUAUCUAGGUGACCUUCUCUUCUUUCCAUCUUCAAACGCUUGAUCAUUGAUGCUCCCUUUUCUCUUCUCUCUCCUCCUGGGAAAAGAGAAGGACCAACAUCCCCCUUUCCCUUCCUCCUGUGCUGUCCCGACCCCUCUGAGACCUGGCUCUAGCAGUAAGUCCCUCUCUCUUCUGCAGCACCAGCCUCUGCCCAUCCCUGCCCUCUGCACACAAAGCUCUCACAUUGUCUGCACUUUAAGAACUUUUGUGGCAAACCCUGGCAAAUCCUGCCACUUGUUUCCACUCUUCUCAAAUGGCUUUGAGGUCAUCAUUGACCUAUCCCAUUUGACCCUGUCCUGUAUCUGAUGUUGUACCCUUUCUCCUUGAUCCCACUCUGGCAACUCUCCCACUCCCCUUUCUUGGAUCAACUGUCUUGCUCCUCAGUCUUGAUCAAUGCCUCCUUCUCUCUCUUUAGCCUUGGCCCUUUUUGGCCAGGGAAAUAAAUGUGAAAUACAUAAAGCUUCAUUUUAUCUUAUGAUUAUAGCUAUGUUGAUGUUACCCAAGACCUAAAAGUCACACUCUCUAAUUACACUUCCCUCCUGUGUUCUGGGUCCUCUUGGACCAGUCCUUACUCUGGCUCCCCUCCUGGAUGUCUCCCAGACUUCUAAUUAGAAUUACUGUUUCCUAUAUCAAGCUAAUUAUCUUUCCCACCAACCUCCUCCAUCCUUGGGUGAAAGCAUCACUUGGUUGCAAAAGUCAGAAAUCUGGGUUUCAUUCUUGCGGUAGGUAGAAUAAUGCCCCCAGGCCCCAGGUUUUGACAUCCGAAUCCCUGGGACUUUGCAGAUGUGAUUCAGUUUAGGAUUUUGAGAUGGGGAGAUUAUCUGGGAGAGCCUGAUGUCAUCAUAAGGUUCUUAUAAGAGGGAGGCAGGAGGGUUAGAGUGAGUAGUAAGAGAUGCAACAGUGGAAGCAAGAGGUUGGGGUGAUGUGGCCACAAGCCCAGGAGUGCUGACAGACAUCAGAAGCUGGAAGGGACAAGGAAUGGUUUCUCCUCUGGAGCCUCCAGAAAGAACCAGCCCUGCUGACACCUUGAUUUUAGCCUUGGAAGACUCAUUUUGGACUUCUGACCUUGAACGUUGUAAGAGAAUAAAUUUACAUAUUUUAAACUGGUA